rnacentral:rRNA from 1 species
CGCGAAUCAGAAUGUCGCGGUGAAUACGUUCCCGGGUCUUGUACACACCGCCCGUCACACCAUGGAAGUCUGCAAUGCCCGAAGCCGGUGGCCUAACCACUUAUGUGGAAGGAGCCGUCUAAGGCAGGGCAGAUGACUGGGGUGAAGUCGUAACAAGGUACC